UUUAUAAUAUUACCAAGGUAAUUAUUAUAUUAUCAACAUCCUUCCUAUUAUAUUCUAAAUAUAUAGGAAAUUUUACUUUGAGAAAAUUAGAGUGCUUAAAGCAGGCAACUGCCUUGAAUACUCCAGCAUGGAAUAAUAAGUAAGGACUUUUGUCUUUCUUAUUGGUUCUAGGACAAAAGUAAUGGUUAAUAGGGACAGUUGGGGGCAUUCGUAUUUAACAGCCAGAGGUGAAAUUCUUAGAUUUGUUAAAGACGAACUACUGCGAAAGCAUUUGCCAAGGAUGUUUUCAUUAAUCAAGAACGAAAGUUAGGGGAUCGAAGACGAUCAGAUACC
rnacentral:rRNA from 1 species